rnacentral:rRNA from 1 species
UACGGAAGGCAGCAGUGGGGAAUAUUGCACAAUGGGCGAAAGCCUGAUGCAGCUAUGCCGCGUGUAUGAAGAAGGCCUUAGGGUUGUAAAGUACUUUCAUCGGGGAGGAAAAACAAAACUAAUAAUUUUAUUUCUUGACGUUACCCGAAAAAGAAGCACAGGCUAACUCCGUGCCAGCAGCCGCGGUAAUACGGAGGGUGCUAGCGUUAAUCAGAAUUACUGGGCGUAAAGAGCACGUAGGUGGUUUUUUUAAGUCAGAUGUGAAAUCCCUGGGCUUAACCUAGGAACUGCAUUUUGAAACUGAAAUACUAGAGUAUCGUAGAGGGAGGUAGAAUUCUAGGUGUAGCGGUGAAAUGCGUAGAUAUCUGGAGGAAUACCUGUGGCGAAAGCGGCCUCCUAAACGAAUACUGACACUGAGGUGCGAAAGCGUGGGGAGCAAACAGGGAUUAGAUACC